GGUGGUAGUGAUGGGAACAUAGCAACUCCUUAACCAAUAAAUGUUCAAGACACAAAACCAAUUAGCUUUGUACACAUAAGGGCCUAACCAUAAGCUGUAGCAUAUAAAUACACUGAACCUUGAUACAUUUCUUGGGCUAUUCGGGAGAUUCAAGAGGACAUCCUUCACUCCUGUUCCUCAAAGAAUAACCCCCAGUUCAGGAAGGGAACAAACAAAUGGACAUAGUUGGAACAUAGUAGCCCCCCCUAGGAAUAAGGAAUGGAGACUGCCCUACAGGAUGGAGAAAUACAAGCAAGUCACAUUGAACUUUUACACACCCUUCGACUUGUACAUCAGACUAUUCUCAAUAUACACAAAUUCAGGCUGCUUGCAAAGGACAGGGUUUAGAACAGUA